rfam:Myotis brandtii contig154974, whole genome shotgun sequence.
GGAGGUUCUCAGGUGACGCACCCCAGAAUCAGGCUCCCUCCUCUCUGGUUCCUGGUACGUCACCAGGAGAACCGCA